AUACAGGGGGUGCAAGCGUUGUUCGGAAUUACUGGGCGUAAAGGGAGCGUAGGCGGAAUUGCAAGACAGAGGUUAAAUCUCCGGGCUCAACCUGGAACUUGCCUUUGUGACUGCAGUUCUUGAGUAUGGUAGAGGUCAGUGGAAUUUCCGGUGUAGCGGUGGAAUGCGUAGAGAUCGGAAAGAACACCAGAGGCGAAGGCGACUGACUGGACCAAUACUGACGCUGAGGCUCGAAAGCGUGGGGAGCAAACAGGAUUAGAUACCCUGGUAGUCCACGCUGUAAACGAUGAACACUAGAUGUCGGGAGGGGUUCCUUCCGGUGUCGUCGCUAACGCAGUAAGUGUUCCGCCUGGGGAGUACGCUCGCAAGGGUGAA
rnacentral:rRNA from 1 species